rnacentral:rRNA from 1 species
GAUGAACGCUGGCGGCGUGCCUAAUACAUGCAAGUCGAGCGAACAGAUGAGGAGCUUGCUCCUCUGACGUUAGCGGCGGACGGGUGAGUAACACGUGGAUAACCUACCUAUAAGACUGGGAUAACUUCGGGAAACCGGAGCUAAUACCGGAUAAUAUAUUGAACCGCAUGGUUCAAUAGUGAAAGACGGUUUUGCUGUCACUUAUAGAUGGAUCCGCGCCGCAUUAGCUAGUUGGUAAGGUAACGGCUUACCAAGGCAACGAUGCGUAGCCGACCUGAGAGGGUGAUCGGCCACACUGGAACUGAGACACGGUCCAGACUCCUACGGGAGGCAGCAGUAGGGAAUCUUCCGCAAGGGGCGAAAGCUUGACGGAGCAACGCCGCGUGAGUGAUGAAGGUCUUCGGAUCGUAAAACUCUGUUAUUAGGGAAGAACAAAUGUGUAAGUAACUAUGCACGUCUUGACGGUACCUAAUCAGAAAGCCACGGCUAACUACG